AGUUUGAUCCUGGCUCAGAAUGAACGUUGGCGGCGUGGAUUAGGCAUGCAAGUCGCGCGAUAAGCUCCCGCAAGGGAGUGGAAAGCGGCGAAAGGGACAGUAAUGCGUAGAUAACCUACCCCCGGGACCGGGAUAGCUGCGGGAAACUGCAAUUAAUACCGGAUAACGUCUCCGGACCAAAUGGUGUGAUUCCGCCAGGGGAUGGGUCUGCGUCCUAUUAGCUAGUUGGCGUGGUAACGGCACACCAAGGCAAAGAUGGGUAGCAGGUGUGAGAGCACGACCUGCGUCACUGGGACUGAGACACUGCCCAGACACCUACGGGUGGCUGCAGUCGAGGAUCUUCGGCAAUGGGCGCAAGCCUGACCGAGCGACGCCGCGUGCGGGAUGAAGGCCUUCGGGUUGUAAACCGCUGUCAGAGAGGCGGAAAUAUAGGGGGGUUCUCCCUUCUAUUUGACCUAUUCUCAGAGGAAGUGCGGGCUAAGUCCGUGCCAGCAGCCGCGGUAACACGGACCGCACGAACGUUAUUCGGUAUCACUGGGCUUAAAGGGUGCGUAGGCGGCUUGGCAAGUUGGGUGUGAAAGCCCUCGGCUCAACCGAGGAAUUGCGCUCAAUACUGCCGAGCUCGAGAGAGACAGAGGUAAGCGGAACUAAUGGUGGAGCGGUGAAAUGCGUUGAUAUCAUUAGGAACACCGGUGGCGAA
rnacentral:rRNA from 1 species